rnacentral:rRNA from 1 species
GACGAACGCUGGCGGCGUGCUUAACACAUGCAAGUCGAACGGAAAGGCCCUGCUUUUGUGGGGUGCUCGAUUGGCGAACGGGUGAGUAACACGUGAGUAACCUGCCCUUGACUUUGGGAUAACUUCAGGAAACUGGGGCUAAUACCGGAUAGGAGCUCCUGCUGCAUGGUGGGGGUUGGAAAGUUUCGGCGGGUGGGGAUGGACUCGCGGCUUAUCAGCUUGUUGGUGGGGUAGUGGCUUACCAAGGCUUUGACGGGUAGCCGGCCUGAGAGGGUGACCGGCCACAUUGGGACUGAGAUACGGCCCAGACUCCUACGGGAGGCAGCAGUGGGGAAUAUUGCACAAUGGGCGGAAGCCUGAUGCAGCAACGCCGCGUGCGGGAUGACGGCCUUCGGGUUGUAAACCGCUUUCGCCUGUGACGAAGCGUGAGUGACGGUAAUGGGUAAAGAAGCACCGGCUAACUACGUG